rnacentral:tRNA from 1 species
ACUUAUGAUGAUGUUUGAUUUGAAAUCAAAUUAGUUGCUUUUAUUAGCAACAUAAGUU